AUACUUACCUGGCAGGGGAAAUAGCGUGAUCACGAAGUUGAUUUUUCCAGGGCAAGACUUAUGCAUUGCACUCCGUAUGUGCUGACUCCUGCGAUUUCCCCAAACGUGGGAAACUGGACUGCGUAAUUGGUGGUGGCGGGGGACUGCGUUCGCGCUUUCUCUUG
ensembl:snRNA U1 U1 spliceosomal RNA